UACGUAGGGAGCAAGCGUUGUCCGGAAUCAUUGGGCGUAAAGCGCGCGUAGGUGGCUUCGUAAGUCCGUUGUGAAAGUCAAAGGCUCAACCUUUGAAAGCCGAUGGAUACUGCGGAGCUAGAGUACGGAAGAGGCGAGUGGAAUUCCUGGUGUAGCGGUGAAAUGCGUAGAUAUCAGGAGGAAUACCGGUGGUGUAGACGGCUCUCUGGACCGCCACUGACGCUGAGACACGAAAGCGUGGGUAGCAAACAGG
rnacentral:rRNA from 1 species